CCUGAAUACAUAGGGUAAGGAGGCGAACCGGGGGAACUGAAACAUCUAAGUACCCCGAGGAAAAGAAAUCAACCGAGAUUCCGAAAGUAGCGGCGAGCGAAAUUGGACUAGCCCUUAAGCUUUACACGCGUUAGACGAACGGUCUGGAAAGUCCGACGAUACAGGGUGAUAGUCCCGUAGUUGACGACGUGUGUUCAGUGAAAUCGAGUAGGGCGGGACACGUGAUAUCCUGUCUGAAUAUGGGGGG
rnacentral:rRNA from 1 species